rnacentral:rRNA from 1 species
GAUGAACGCUAGCGGCAGGCCUAACACAUGCAAGUCGAGGGAGAGGUUACCUUCGAGUAACCAAAACCGGCGCACGGGUGCGUAACGCGUAUACAAUCUGCCUUUCACAUAGGGAUAGCCCGAAGAAAUUUGGAUUAAUACCUAAUGGUAUAUAAGAGCGGCAUCGUUUUUAUAUUAAAGCUACGGUGGUGAAAGAUGAGUAUGCGUUCUAUUAGCUAGUUGGAGAGGUAACGGCUCCCCAAGGCGACGAUAGAUAGGGGUUCUGAGAGGGAUGUCCCCCACACUGGUACUGAGAUACGGACCAGACUCCUACGGGAGGCAGCAGUGAGGAAUAUUGGACAAUGGUCGGAAGACUGAUCCAGCCAUGCCGCGUGCAGGAUGAAGGUCCUAUGGAUUGUAAACUGCUUUUGUAAGGGAAGAAUAAGGAGUACGUGUACUUUGAUGACGGUACCUUACGAAUAAGCAUCGGCUAACUCCGUGCCAGCAGCCGCGGUAAUACGGAGGAUGCGAGCGUUAUCCGGAAUCAUUGGGUUUAAAGGGUCCGUAGGCGGGCUGAUAAGUCAGAGGUGAAAGCGCUUAGCUCAACUAAGCAACUGCCUUUGAAACUGUCAGUCUUGAAUGAUUGUGAAGUAGUUGGAAUGUGUAGUGUAGCGGUGAAAUGCUUAGAUAUUACACAGAACACCGAUAGCGAAGGCAUAUUACUAACAAUUUAUUGACGCUGAUGGACGAAAGCGUGGGGAGCGAACAGG